CAGUCGAGGGGCAGCACGGGUAGCAAUAUCUGGUGGCGACCGGCGCAAGGGUGCGUAACGCGUGAGCAACAUGCCCGUAUCAGGGGAAUAAUCCAGGGAAACUUGGUCUAAUACCCCAUAGUAAAUAUUAAAGGCAUCUUUAAUAUUUUAAAGCUUUGGUGGAUACGGAUUGGCUCGCGUGACAUUAGCUAGAUGGUAAGGUAACGGCUUACCAUGGCUACGAUGUCUAGGGGUUCUGAGAGGAAGAUCCCCCACACUGGAACUGAGACACGGUCCAGACUCCUACGGGAGGCAGCAGUGAGGAAUAUUGGACAAUGGAUGGAAAUCUGAUCCAGCCAUGCCGCGUGCAGGAAGACGGCCCUAUGGGUUGUAAACUGCUUUUAUAUGGGAGCAAUAAGGCCUACGUGUAGGUCGAUGAGAGUACCAUAUGAAUAAGCACCGGCUAACUCCGUGCCAGCAGCCGCGGUAAUACGGAGGGUGCAAGCGUUAUCCGGAUUUAUUGGGUUUAAAGGGUGCGUAGGCGGUUUGAUAAGUCAGCGGUGAAAUAUUUCAGCUUAACUGGAAGGGUGCCGUUGAUACUGUCAGGCUUGAAUUUAGUUGCUGUGGGUGGAAUGUGUGGUGUAGCGGUGAAAUGCAUAGAUAUCACACAGAAUAUCGAUUGCGAAGGCAGCUCACAAAGCUAAAAUUGACGCUGAUGCACGAAAGUGUGGGGAUCAAACAGGAUUAGAUACCCUGGUAGUCCACACUGUAAACGAUGAUAACUCGCUGUCGGCGAUACAUAGUCGGUGGCCAAGCGAAAGCGAUAAGUUAUCCACCUGGGGAGUACGACCGCAAGGUUGAAACUCAAAGGAAUUGACGGGGGCCCGCACAAGCGGAGGAACAUGUGGUUUAAUUCGAUGAUACGCGAGGAACCUUACCCCGGGCUCGACGGUGCAUGAAUGAUUCAGAGAUGGAUUAGUCCUUCGGGACAUGUAUCGAGGUGCUGCAUGGUUGUCGUCAGCUCGUGCCGUGAGGUGUCGGCUUAAGUGCCAUAACGAGC
rnacentral:rRNA from 1 species